UACGAAGGGGGCUAGCGUUGCUCGGAAUCACUGGGCGUAAAGGGUGCGUAGGCGGGUCUUUAAGUCAGGGGUGAAAUCCUGGAGCUCAACUCCAGAACUGCCUUUGAUACUGAGGAUCUUGAGUUCGGGAGAGGUGAGUGGAACUGCGAGUGUAGAGGUGAAAUUCGUAGAUAUUCGCAAGAACACCAGUGGCGAAGGCGGCUCACUGGCCCGAUACUGACGCUGAGGCACGAAAAGCGUGGGGGAG
rnacentral:rRNA from 1 species